GGCUUUUUAGUAUAAGUUGUUAUUUUUGUUUUCCAAACAGAAGGUUUAGUAAGCUA
rnacentral:tRNA from 1 species